UCUACGGGAGGCAGCAGUGGGGAAUAUUGCACAAUGGGCGCAAGCCUGAUGCAGCCAUGCCGCGUGUAUGAAGAAGGCCUUCGGGUUGUAAAGUACUUUCAGCGGGGAGGAAGGCGAUGAGGUUAAUAACCGCGUCGAUUGACGUUACCCGCAGAAGAAGCACCGGCUAACUCCGUGCCAGCAGCCGCGGUAAUA
rnacentral:rRNA from 2 species